rnacentral:rRNA from 1 species
CACCGCGGUUAUACGAAAGACCCAAGUUGAUAAACACGGCGUAAAGGGUGGUUAAGGAAACAACAAAUAAAGCUAAAGACCCUCUAAGCCGUUAUACGCACUCUGAGGGCACGAAACCCAAACACGAAAGUAACUUUAAAUAACAUUACCUGACCCCACGAAAGCUAAGAAA